UAGGGAAUCUUCGGCAAUGGACGAAAGUCUGACCGAGCAACGCCGCGUGAGUGAAGAAGGUUUUCGGAUCGUAAAACUCUGUUGUUAGAGAAGAACAAGGACGUUAGUAACUGAACGUCCCCUGACGGUAUCUAACCAGAAAGCCACGGCUAACUACGUGCCAGCAGCCGCGGUAAUACGUAGGUGGCAAGCGUUGUCCGGAUUUAUUGGGCGUAAAGCGAGCGCAGGCGGUUUCUUAAGUCUGAUGUGGAAGCCCCCGGCUCAACCGGGGAGGGUCAUUGGAAACUGAGAGACUUGAGUGCAGAAGAGGAGAGUGGAAUUCCAUGUGUGGCGGUGAAAUCCGUAGAUAUAUGGAGGAACACCGGUGGCGAAGGCGGCUCUCUGGUCUGUAACUGACGCUGAGGCUCGAAAGCGUGGGGAGCAAACAGG
rnacentral:rRNA from 1 species